rnacentral:sRNA from 1 species
AUCCUGUGGUAUAGGGGAAGCGCUCCGGGCCUGGAAUCCCUACGCGUCCCGUUGGGUUUAGCACGAUGAGCUCAAUCGGCACUGGGUAUGACCUGUCAGCCUCUACAUUCUCUCCUGACGGAAGAGUUUUUCAAGUUGAAUAUGCUAUGAAGGCUGUGGAAAAUAGUAGUACAGCUAUUGGAAUCAGAUGCAAAGAUGGUGUUGUCUUUGGGGUAGAAAAAUUAGUCCUUUCUAAACUUUAUGAAGAAGGUUCCAACAAAAGACUUUUUAAUGUUGAUCGGCAUGUUGGAAUGGCAGUAGCAGGUUUGUUGGCAGAUGCUCGUUCUUUAGCAGACAUAGCAAGAGAAGAAGCUUCCAACUUUAGAUCUAACUUUGGCUACAACAUUCCACUAAAAGUAAGUUGAUAACAUAUUGAGGAACCUUUUGGACAGUAAUAGAAGUUUAUUAAUAAGCUCUUCUGCUUCCCUCCAUAGCAUCUUGCAGACAGAGUGGCCAUGUAUGUGCAUGCAUAUACACUCUACAGUGCUGUUAGACCUUUUGGCUGCAGGUAAGAAAUUUUGUGAAUUAUUCAAAAGGCAGAUCUGUACUAUAGAUAUUUAUUAUGUUCCCCAGCAUCUUAGCCUUUUACAUACUUAAAAAUAGAAACUCUUGUCGAUAAGUAUUAGGGCAAUGAUUAAAUAAAACAGUGUACAUAGAAACUACUUGAGGCUGGGUGCCAUGGCUCACGCCUGUAAUCCCAGUACUUUGGGAGGUUGAGGUGGGAGGAUCCCUUGUGCCCAGAAGUAUGAGACCAGCCUGGCCAACGCAGUGAGAACCUAUCUCUACAAAAAAAAUUUAAAAUUUAGCCAGGUGCAGUAUCACAUGCCUGUAGUCACAGCUACUUAGGAGCUGCUUGAGAGGAUCAUUUGAGCCCAGGAGUUGAAGGCUGGAAUGAGCUGUGGCCAUACCACUGUACUCUAGCCGGCGCAAUAGAGACUCUGCCUCUUUAAA